rnacentral:snRNA from 18 species
AUUCUUAUGCACGGGAAAUACGCAUAUCAGUGAGGAUUCGUCCGAGAUUGUGUUAUUGCUGGUAAAAUAAUAUAAACCAUGACCCGCUCCUCAUGGUCAUAGAUGUCCUAGUACAUCGCGGACUAUGUAGGGAAUUUUUGGAAUGACACAAUUAUA